GAUGAAGAACGCAGCGAAAUGCGAUAAGUAAUGUGAACUGCAGAAUUCAGUGAAUCAUCGAAUCUUUGAACGCACAUUGCGCCCGCCAGUAUUCUGGCGGGCAUGCCUGUUCGAGCGUCAUUUCAACCAUCAAGCCCCCGGGCUUGUGUUGGGGACCUGCGGCUGCCGCAGGCCCUGAAAAGCAGUGGCGGGCUCGCUGUCACACCGAGCGUAGUAGAUUUUAUCUCGCUCUGGGCGUGCUGCGGGUUCCGGCCGUUAAACCACCCUUUUAACCCAAGGUUGACCUCGGAUCAGGUAGGAAGACCCGCUGAACUUAAGCAUAUCAAUAAGCGGAGGA
rnacentral:misc_RNA from 1 species